CCGGGGAGAGGUUUCCUCCAAGCUGCUUCGAUCGCGGCCGGGUUGCUCGCUGCAUUUCCCGCCCCCAAACCCCACUCCGCCCCCGGGGAUGCGGGUCCUGCUCCAGAUUCUCCACGUGGACGUCUAUGGGGGAAGGUGAAAGGGCCAUAGCUCAGUGGAAUCUCAGACUCCUGCCUGAGUCUCUCGGAGGAUGUCUCAAGCAGGUCACCAAGCAAGAUGGGCCAGAGGGUUUGACUCAAUUCACUGCCUUUCAUUAUGAAAACCAAGGAAUUCUAGGCCAAGAAUUCUGAAGCUACAAGACUGACAAAAUGAUGAAUACCGAACAUUCCCAGUCACUAUCUUUGAUGCAGUCCAUUUUAUUUCAUUCUUCUUGUCCAAGUGACCAAAACUGGGAUAAAAAAUGGGGACUGAAGACUUUCCUUCAUGGCUGAAGAAUGCCCCAAC